GGGGGCUUCCGAGGGGCCAGCCGGCCUGAUGCCUCUUCCACAGAGCUCUAUCCACGGGGCUUCUGCCCACCCAGAUCGGCCUCCCUUGCCCAUUUCCGUCCUUCCGCCUGGCCAGAGGCUCAAGAGGCAGGAUUAGAACUGGGGUCGCCUCGAGAUCAUCCCGGCAUUGCAGAGAUUGGCGGAAGCAGGACCUAGAGAGGAGAAGAGCCACACAGGAUCACUGGGCUGGAAGGGACCUUGGAGGUCGUCUAGUCCAACCCCCUGCUCAAGGCAGGCGAUACUAUACAGAGUCUCAACAUCUUUUUUACAUCGUGGCGACCAAAACUGAAUGCAGUAUUCCAAGUGUGGCCUUACCAAGGCAUUAUAAAGUGGUAUCACCGGCUAUGGCAAACCUCCUUCCCAGGCUGAAGGUAAUCAACAACUGGCAGAUGACCUGAAUGAGUUUUACUGCAGGUUUGAAAGGAAACUACAGCCACCUAUCUCCACAACCCCCAUCUCAGACACACCAACAACAGCCAAGCCUCCUAUAACUGACCCCAUUUCAUUGGGUUCACAACCCCUAGUGAUCACAGAAAAGAAAGUGCAGGACCUAUUUCACAGACAAAAGCCAGGAAAAGCUCCAGGCCCAGACAAGAUAACUCCUUCUUGCUUAAAAGUCUGUGCUGACCAAUUGGCCCCCAUCUUCACCCAUAUUUUCAAUAAAUCACUAGAGAUGUGCUAUGUUCCUUCUUGCUUCAAACGCUCUACCAUCAUCCCAGUGCCGAAGAAGCCCACCAUCAAGGAACUGAAUGACUACAGACCAGUUGCUUUAACAUCUGUAGUCAUGAAAACCUUUGAAAGGCUAGUGCUUUCCUACCUGAAAACCAUCACGAAUCUGCUCUUAGACCCCUUGCAAUUUGCAUACCGAGCAAAUAGAUCAACAGAUGAUGCUGUUAAUAUGGCUCUGCACUACAUCCUACAACAUCUUGAGUCUCCAAAGACCUAUGCAAGGGUCCUUUUUGUAGACUUUAGUUCAGCAUUCAAUACCAUCAUUCCAGACAUUCUUCUAACUAAGCUAAACCAGCUACAGGUACCGGAACAGACUUGUAAGUGGAUCACAAGCUUCCUAACAAACAGGAAGCAGCAGGUGAAGCUAAGCAAGAUCACAUCAAAUACCUGUACAAUUAGCACAGGGGCCCCCCAAGGCUGUGUGCUCUCCCCACUUCUCUCUGUAUACCAAUGACUGCAUCUCCAAUGAUCCAUUUGUUAAGCUACUGAAGUUCGCAGAUGACACAACAGUGAUUGGUCUCAUUCGAGACAAUGACGAAUCCGCAUAUAGACGAGAGGUCGAACGACUAGCCUUGUGGUGCAACCAAAACAAUCUGGAACUGAACACACUCAAAACCGUAGAAAUGGUGGUAGACUUUAGGAAAAACCCUUCCAUACUUCCACCUCUCACAAUACUUGACAACACAGUAUCAACAGUAGAAACCUUCAAAUUUCUGGGUUCUAUCAUAUCGCAAGAUCUCAAAUGGACAGCUAACAUCAAAAACAUCAUUAAAAAAGGACAACAAAGAAUGUUCUUUCUGCGCCAACUCAGUAAGCUCAAACUGCCCAAGGAGCUGCUGAUCCAGUUCUACAGAGGAAUUAUUGAGUCUGUCAUUUGCACCUCUAUAACUGUCUGGUUCGGUUCUGCAACC